rnacentral:rRNA from 1 species
GAUGAACGCUGGCGGCGUGCCUAAUACAUGCAAGUCGAGCGAACGGACGAGAAGCUUGCUUCUCUGAUGUUAGCGGCGGACGGGUGAGUAACACGUGGAUAACCUACCUAUAAGACUGGGAUAACUUCGGGAAACCGGAGCUAAUACCGGAUGAUAUUUUGAACCGCAUGGUUCAAAAGUGAAAGACGGUCUUGCUGUCACUUAUAGAUGGAUCCGCGCUGCAUUAGCUAGUUGGUAAGGUAACGGCUUACCAAGGCAACGAUGCAUAGCCGACCUGAGAGGGUGAUCGGCCACACUGGAACUGAGACACGGUCCAGACUCCUACGGGAGGCAGCAGUAGGGAAUCUUCCGCAAUGGGCGAAAGCCUGACGGAGCAACGCCGCGUGAGUGAUGAAGGUCUUCGGAUCGUAAAACUCUGUUAUUAGGGAAGAACAUAUGUGUAAGUAACUGUGAACAUCUUGACGGUACCUAAUCAGAAAGCCACGGCUAACUACAUG